CCUACGGGAGGCAGCAGUGAGGAAUAUUGGUCAAUGGACGAGAGUCUGAACCAGCCAAGUAGCGUGAAGGAUGACUGCCCUAUGGGUUGUAAACUUCUUUUAUAAAGGAAUAAAACGAGGCACGUGUGCCUUUUUGCAUGUACCUUAUGAAUAAGGAUCGGCUAACUCCGUGCCAGCAGCCGCGGUAAUACGGAGGAUCCGUGCGUUAUCCGGAUGUAUUGGGUUUAAAGGGAGCGUAGAUGGGUUGUUAAGUCAGUUGUGAAAGUUUGCGGCUCAACCGUAAAAUUGCAAUUGAUACUGGCAGUCUUGAGUGCAGUUGAGGUAGGCGGAAUUCGUGGUGUAGCGGUGAAAUGCAUAGAUAUCACGAAGAACCCCGAUUGCGAAGGCAGCUUACUAAACUGUAACUGACGUUGAUGCACGAAAGUGUGGGUAUCAAACAGGAUUAGAUACCCGAGUAGUC
rnacentral:rRNA from 1 species